AUGCACCGAGGAUCUGGCUGAUUACUGGAAAUUUGGAAGAUUGUUCUUUAUCUGCACUGUCACUUCUGUUAUUAAGGAGCAGUGGGCUGCAGUGAUGCGACCAGGAAGCAACUGGGGGUUCAGUGCCUUGCUCAAGGACACUUCGACUUGCAACUAAUGGGGAGAGCCGGGAUCGAACCGACAACCUUGGGGUUGCAGGACGGCCCCCUUACCCCACUGAGCUACAGCCGCCACAAUUAUGGACCUUUUGUGGUAUGUUUUGCUUUCACUUAUCAACUGAUAGUGAAUAAUUGGUUGAUUUUGAAAAUGUACAUUAAAUAAAAUGUUUUAAAAUCAA